rnacentral:rRNA from 1 species
GGAGGACACCAUCAACGGAGCGGUGAGGACGAUUCACAGCUCAAUGCGCUUGGCGAGGGGAGACCAUUGGACGGCCCACGGUCGCCGUGUCCCAAAGAGGACCUAACCAAACUUGAUGUUACAAGCUACACCCGUUGUCACCUGAAGUUAUCUCACGCCAAGCGAGGAUCAACAUUGGUGAUGCCUUAUAGUACAGGCUGUAGAACUGCAUUGUCAAAUUUUGAGGCAGAGCUGGACUAUAGGUAUGUUUCAGAUCCAACAAUCAUGGUGUCUUUCCCUAUUAUCGAUGAUGCGGACAAUGCAUCUCUU